UACAUAAUAUUGCCCAAUUCCUAUCGCACCGGGAAACGGGGGAACCAUUUCGGGUGAAUUGAUCUCGUUGCAGAGUGAUCAUAGGGAACCUUCUACCGAACCCUUGAGCUAACCUCGUCGGCAUUGGAAGGAGUAUUU
rnacentral:sRNA from 1 species